ACAAAUCGAAUUACAAAGACCAAGGGCUAUGGUAAAAUAAUUCAACUAAGUACUUAAUGAUGUCAUCUGAUUCAUACAUAGAAACUCCUGUGCUAGAAAUGUGGAACAUAUGAAGUUUUAGCUACAUAGAAUUACUGAGUCCUUUUGAGAGAGUAUUUUCUAGAUUCAGAGGAACAGGUAUUAUAAUAUUGAUAUGCGGUCGAUACAAACAAAAACAGUUCAACUUCCAUCACACUCUUUACUCCUAUUCAUGCAGUAUCUAACCAAGUAAGAAAUUGUGUUUUUCCACCCAUCUGUGCAGCCCUAUGACGAAAAUUUGGGCCAUUUCUCGGACAAGGAUAGAAUAACACAUCAAGGUCCAGAAACGCAACAAUUCCCCGAACCUGUAAUAACAAUAAUUUUCAAUUCAUAUCACGAAAUGUACAUUGAGAAUGAUUUGCAAGAUGCAGCAACUAAAAACUAUGUAUGCUCUUAAACAAAAGUGUAAAAAGUCCAUGAGAUUCUAUUUAUUGCCAAAAUAACCAUAAUCAAUUGAUAUUUUCCUUCAGAAAAAUGUCAUCCCUUAAUCUAUAG
rnacentral:lncRNA from 1 species